rnacentral:rRNA from 1 species
UACGGAGGAUGCAAGCGUUAUCCGGAAUGAUUGGGCGUAAAGCGUCCGCAGGUGGCUAUGUAAGUCUGCUGUUAAAGAGUCUGGCUCAACCAGAUAAAGGCAGUGGAAACUACAUGGCUAGAGUGCGUUCGGGGCAGAGGGAAUUCCUGGUGUAGCGGUGAAAUGCGUAGAGAUCAGGAAGAACACCGGUGGCGAAAGCGCUCUGCUAGGCCGCAACUGACACUGAGGGACGAAAGCUAGGAGAGCGAAUGGG